rnacentral:rRNA from 1 species
AUUGAACGCUAGCGGGAUGCCUUACACAUGCAAGUCGAACGGCGUGGCGAACGGGUGAGUAAUGUAUAGGAACGUGCCCAGUAGCGGGGGAUAACUACGCGAACGCGUAGCUAAUACCGCAUACUAUUGGAGCGGCCUGUAUCGGAUUAGCUAGUUGGGGGGGGAACGGCCCACCAAGGCGACGAUCCGUAGCUGGUUGGAGAGGACGACCAGCAACAUGGGGACUGAGACAGGGCCCAGACUCCGACGGGAGGCAGCAGUGGGGAAUUUUGGACAAGGGGGGAAACCCUGAUCCAGCCAUCCCGCGUGUGCGAUGAAGGCCUUCGGGUUGUAAAGCACUUUUGGCAGGAAAGCGGUACCUGCAGAAUAAGCACCGGCUAACUACGUGCCAGCAGCCGCGGUAAUAC